rnacentral:rRNA from 1 species
AUUGAACGCUGGCGGCAUGCCUUACACAUGCAAGUCGAACGGCAGCAUGAUCUAGCUUGCUAGAUUGAUGGCGAGUGGCGAACGGGUGAGUAAUACAUCGGAACGUGCCCUGUAGUGGGGGAUAACUAGUCGAAAGAUUAGCUAAUACCGCAUACGACCUGAGGGUGAAAGUGGGGGACCGCAAGGCCUCAUGCUAUAGGAGCGGCCGAUGUCUGAUUAGCUAGUUGGUGAGGUAAAGGCUCACCAAGGCGACGAUCAGUAGCUGGUCUGAGAGGACGAUCAGCCACACUGGGACUGAGACACGGCCCAGACUCCUACGGGAGGCAGCAGUGGGGAAUUUUGGACAAUGGGCGAAAGCCUGAUCCAGCAAUGCCGCGUGUGUGAAGAGGGCCUUCGGGUUGUAAAGCACUUUUGUCCGGAAAGAAAUGGCUCUGGUUAAUACCUGGGGUCGAUGACGGUACCGGAAGAAUAAGGACCGGCUAACUACGUG